AAAUUGAUUUAAUUGGUUUGAAACCAUUUUUCAGACUGUAAAAGUCUUCAGUUUU
rnacentral:tRNA from 1 species